GGGUUUUAAAUUAGAGAGUUUGAUCAUGGCUCAGGGUGAACGCUGGCGGCGCGCUUAAUGCAUGCAAGUCGAGCGUACCUCCCGGCUUAGGCUGGGAAGGGAAGCGGCAGACGGCUGAGUAACGCGUGAGUAAUCUGCCCUCCGGUGGGGUAUAGCCUCGGGAAACUGAGGGUAAUCCCGCAUUCGAUCCCCGGACCCUGGUUUGGGGAGGAAAGCCUUCGGGCGCCGGAGGAGGAGCUCGCGUCCUAUCAGGUAGUUGGUGAGGUAAUGGCUCACCAAGCCGAUGACGGGUAGCUGGUCUGAGAGGACGACCAGCCAGAGGGGGACUGAGA
rnacentral:rRNA from 1 species